rnacentral:rRNA from 1 species
UGGCGGACGGGUGAGUAACGCGUAAGAACUUAGCCCUUUAGACUGGGAUAACAGAGGGAAACUUCUGAUAAUACUGGAUAAGUUAGUAUAUCGCAUGAUAUGCAAAUGAAAGCUACGGCACUAAAGGAGAGCUUUGCGUCAUAUUAGCUAGUUGGUAAGGUAAGAGCUUACCAAGGCGAUGAUAGGUAGCCGGCCUGAGAGGGUGGACGGCCACAAGGGGACUGAGAUACGGCCCUUACUCCUACGGGAGGCAGCAGCC